GAGACAGCAGCCGCCGCGGGAAUACGUAGGUCCCGAGCGUUGUCCGGAUUUAUUGGGCGUAAAGCGAGCGCAGGCGGUUAGAUAAGUCUGAAGUUAAAGGCUGUGGCUUAACCAUAGUACGCUUUGGAAACUGUUUAACUUGAGUGCAAGAGGGGAGAGUGGAAUUCCAUGUGUAGCGGUGAAAUGCGUAGAUAUAUGGAGGAACACCGGUGGCGAAAGCGGCUCUCUGGCUUGUAACUGACGCUGAGGCUCGAAAGCGUGGGGAGCAAACAGGAUUAGAUACCCCCGUAGUCCCUGUCUCUUAACAC
rnacentral:rRNA from 1 species